AAACCUGGGGGCCCAUUAGACCCAAAAUCCGACUUGCAAUCAGACACUACUCCAGAUC
rnacentral:tRNA from 1 species